GUGCGAAACAGGGUGGCCAUGCCGCCCUGUCUGCCUGGCGUGGUGGCCGGGUACUGAUGAGCAGCCGGAG
rnacentral:hammerhead_ribozyme from 1 species